AUGUCGCAGCCGCUCAAUUCCUCCCGGGAUGCUUCCAAUCCCCCUGCUACACACAGGGUAUUGAUAACGAACAAGCAUGGAGAGAAACUUGUGGGGCUGCUGCAUCCCACGGGUUUGAAGAGGAUUGUAGUCUUGUGCCAUGGCUUUACGGCCUCCAAGAGUUCUGGCGUUAUUGUUGAUCUGGCAGAUGCAAUAAUAAAACAAGGGAUUAGUGUUUUUCGCUUUGACUUCAGUGGAAACGGAGAGAGCGAAGGCGUUUUCCAGUAUGGCAACUACAGGAAAGAGGCUGAAGACUUGCAUUCUGUUGUCUCAUAUCUGUAUCAGGAGAAGUAUGAUGUAGCAGCUGUUGUUGGUCACAGCAAAGGAGGAGAUGUGGUUGUUCUUUAUGCUUCCCUAUAUGACGAUGUCCGUAUGGUUGUUAACCUAUCCGGCCGAUUUUAUUUGGAGAAAGGCAUUGAGGAACGCCUAGGGAAAGAAUUUCUUGACAGAAUAAAUAAGGAAGGUUACAUUGAUGUCACAAACAAGUCAGGAAAUGUUUUAUACAGGGUAACAAAAGAGAGCUUGAUGGAACGACUGAACACUGACAUGCGUGCAACAAGCCUCUCCAUUAGCAAGGAAUGCAGCUUCUUCACAGUUCAUGGUUCUGCUGAUGAGAUCAUUCCUGUGGAAGAUGCAUAUGAGUUUGCAAAGCAUAUACCGACCCACAAACUGUGUGUCGUCGAGGGAGCAGAUCACUGCUACACUAGACAUCGUAAAGAACUUUCUGAUGCUGUAGUGGGUUUCAUUACAUCCAACAAGGCCAGGGAUACCACGCUAGAAGAUCAAUGA
rnacentral:rRNA from 1 species